rnacentral:lncRNA from 1 species
AAAAAUAGAAAAAGAAAAUAGAAAAGAAAAAAAAUGAAAAAAAUAGAAGGAUGUCAAUACAUACUCCUUCUGGAAAAAAAAAGAAUAAAAAGAGAAAGGAGAAAGAGAAAACAAUUGCUAUAGAGUUGUUCAAGUGAAUGAAAUAUUUUAUAAAUUCAACUCCUGCAGCUUCUUUCAAGUCUCUUUUAUCUCUUUGAAUUUUAGCCUAGUCCCUUAGGAUUU